rnacentral:rRNA from 1 species
CUUGCGCUAUCAGAUGAGCCUAGGUCGGAUUAGCUAGUUGGUGAGGUAAUGGCUCACCAAGGCGACGAUCCGUAACUGGUCUGAGAGGAUGAUCAGUCACACUGGAACUGAGACACGGUCCAGACUCCUACGGGAGGCAGCAGUGGGGAAUAUUGGACAAUGGGCGAAAGCCUGAUCCAGCCAUGCCGCGUGUGUGAAGAAGGUCUUCGGAUUGUAAAGCACUUUAAGUUGGGAGGAAGGGUUGUACGUUAAUACCGUGCAAUUUUGACGUUACCGACAGAAUAAGCACCGGCUAACUCUGUGCCAGCAGCCGCGGUAAUACAGAGGGUGCAAGCGUUAAUCGGAAUUACUGGGCGUAAAGCGCGCGUAGGUGGUUCGUUAAGUUGGAUGUGAAAUCCCCGGGCUCAACCUGGGAACUGCAUCCAAAACUGGCGAGCUAGAGUAUGGUAGAGGGUGGUGGAAUUUCCUGUGUAGCGGUGAA